CAGGCCUCCUGAAUCAGAGUCUCCGGAGAAUGGGUCUAGUGACCUGUUACUCUUAUCAUACGGCAAGUUUGGGAAACACUGUGUUGGACUCCAGGAGAAACUUUCCGCUUAGAGAUGAGCCCGGAGAGGAAGGGCUGGUGGCAGAACUUAAGGUCAUGAGUGCUGAGAUGGCUGAGAUCCAAGGAAGAACAAACACACUACAGAGGUCAAGGAGAGAGGCAGCUACAGCCCACUCUCUCUACUACCGCAUUUGACAUAUGGGGAGACUGAGGCACAGAACCAGGAAAAGGUUUGCCUGAGGUCACAGGGUGAUGUCAAUCUGGGAUUAACCAGGAGCCCAGCACCACCUGGCUUUCCGCCUCUCAGCCUGGCCCCUGGGGAACCAGCUUUGCCUUUGGUCGUGGGGGUCUAAAAGGCCUCCUUUCCCAUGGUCAGCAA